rnacentral:rRNA from 1 species
GUCUACAGCCAUACCACCCUGAAUGCGCCUAAUCUCAUCUGAUCUCGGAAGCUAAGCAGGGAUGGGUCUGGUUAGUACUUGGAUAGGAGACAAAGCUACAGUAAUCAAGUCUGGCUAGACCAGAGGAUGUACACU